rnacentral:rRNA from 1 species
UGGGGAAUAUUGGACAAUGGGCGCAAGCCUGAUCCAGCCAUGCCGCGUGAGUGAUGAAGGCCCUAGGGUUGUAAAGCUCUUUCGCCAGGGACGAUAAUGACGGUACCUGGAUAAGAAGCCCCGGCUAACUUCGUGCCAGCAGCCGCGGUAAUACGAAGGGGGCUAGCGUUGUUCGGAAUCACUGGGCGUAAAGCGCACGUAGGCGGAUCUUUAAGUCAGGGGUGAAAUCCCGAGGCUCAACCUCGGAACUGCCUUUGAUACUGGAGGUCUCGAGUCCGGGAGAGGUGAGUGGAACUGCGAGUGUAGAGGUGAAAUUCGUAGAUAUUCGCAAGAACACCAGUGGCGAAGGCGGCUCACUGGCCCGGUACUGACGCUGAGGUGCGAAAGCGUGGGGAGCAAAACAGGAUUAGAUACCCUGGUAGUCCACGCCGUAAACUAUGGAUGCUAGCCGUUGGGCAGCUUGCUGUUCAGUGGCGCAGCUAACGCUUUAAGCAUCCCGCCUGGGGGAGUACGGUCGCAAGAUUAAAACUCAAAUGAAUUGACGGGGUCAUAGCUGUUUCCU